GGAAGCGCACGGGGCCUGGUGGCCCUCCCGGUCUUCAAAACCGGUCGCUCCGUCGGCCGCGCCGGCGGAGGGUGGGUUCGAUUCCCACACGCUUCCGCCA
rnacentral:tRNA from 1 species